CCGGCAAUAUGCAACUUACGUUGUGAGAUCGACGCUACAAGUUCCUGGUGCGUUUCUUUGUUCCUGGUGCGUUUCUUUGUUCUCUCUAUGUGUGCUUUGUUUUAAUGCAUCUUUUCAACCGUCACUUCCAAUAUACUCUAUAUAUCCUGCACGUACUGUAUGACUGUGUCUACUUCAUCUGCUACUUAUUAUAUUUUUUUUUAUCUCAGUUGUGCUCGAUCGGGUGAUAAAUGUCAGGAUACUUGGUGGUUAUAGUGCGCGGAUAAUUGAGCAGCGAACACUGCUGCUUAGAUUUUGUGUCCCAAUUAUCCAUGAUUUGGUGCUACAUCAUGGACAAGUUUAAUUAAUAUCAUGAUUGUGCAAAAAUCAAAAAUAAAUUGGAAGGAGAUGAACUGAAACUAAUCACACAAAAAGAUCACUCAAUGCAAAUAUAUCUGCUCGAUACAGUAGUCAUAUGUAAAAUGACACAAGAGGUAGAAAAACUAAUCAAUUGGUGGAGGUGUAAUACAAGAUAAAUUCAUAUUGAUAAGUGAUUCCUACUUGAUAGUAGGAGAAUCCAUGUCAUACUGGUGAACGGGAACCUGCGCAGUAGUUAGCUCAUUAGUCCCCUAGCAUGAAAAAAAUUGUACUAUAUAUUAUAUGUCUAAUUAGUUUUUGGAGAAUUUAUAUUUCGUACCACAAAAUUGCAGGUGUGGUGUUACCUAGUUACAAAUAUUGUAGGGUAUUUCUUGGCUUAGCAAACUUGAGUGCGGUAUGUAGAAUUCAGAUUUUCAAUUCAUGUGUGUGCUAUGCAAUCUAGUUUGGUUCAAGUUUCCAAUCCAUGUAUAAACAGAUUGCUGGGUGUAUUACCUCAGCAAUGCAAAAGUAAUGUCCAAAAGUAAUGCAGAACCAUAAUGAUCAAUGGUUUUACAUUUUACAUGGCAAUAAUGGUUUGAUGUUACGGAAUUUUGUAGGAACAGGCAUGGGAAUCCUUGAGGAAUACCCAGGCCAACGCCAACACUGUUAAUCCGCUAUGUUUUUCUCCAGGUCUGAUCAUUGGCAACCUUCAUGAUGCCUGGAUAUUUGGGAUUAAUCCCAACAUUUGAACAUGACUUAUUCUCGGUAAUCAACCUCACUUUGCAUAGUAAAACAUAUGGAGUUGUUUUGAAUGCAAAGCAUCUUUGCUAAAUCGAGGAAAAUGAUAUAAUCCUAUUUUAGUUCACAGGUUGCACAGAGGUAAUCCAAGCCGAAAAAGAAAGUAUGGAGGCCCCAAGGGAAACAAGCAGCCCAUGCAGCAUAGAGUAGUUUGCGUUGCUAUGUUCUUGCUAGCUUGCUCUCAAAUGUGUGCUUGCACAGUUAGAGAUAGAAGUGGCCAGUAGUCUUUUUUCCAUUUGAUAUAAUUGGUAG
rnacentral:lncRNA from 1 species